CUGCGCCACCUCAUCUAUGGAGUUGUGCCCCUGCAAGCCGACGCCGCUGCCCAAUCCGCACAUCGGCACUCGGUCAAGAGGCAGUUGCCAGCGAGCAAGCAUCCGUGUUGAUUUGAGAAGCCACGAAAUUGAGGUACGCAGAAGAUGAACAAACCUGAGAACUGAUGAUCCAAAGAUGAGUCGGAGUUCAAGCAUCACAUAGCCGUCAGCUGUGGUUGCUUGUAGGCGGAUGUGUCUCAGACCUAAGUUGUUGCAGCUGGACCGUGGUUACAUGCAUCCUCGCUUGGAGGCAGCGGUGCUGGGAGAUAUCCAUGUGCAAGGCGCAGAAGUGGACGAAGGACCAAAGAAGCAAUCUGUGCCUCCCUGUCGCUGCGUCCUGCUCCUCAAUAUGUCACCUUAUUUAUGGCCGCCUUAUCCCUCAUGCUGCUGAUUUAAACCUGCCCUACUCUUCUUCUCAUAGGCUGAUCAAGGGUUGCGCUUCAGCGACAGCCUCGCCGACAACGGGGAAGCAAGGAUCAGAAGUGACAGCUAUAGCGCUAGGAAAUUAGAAACCCUAGCAAUUGAUCUUCUUUAUAAAACGUGUUUGGCAAGGGACGUGGAACCUGCCUCAGGGAAGAAGAGAUUGAUCACGUGAGAGAAGAGACCAGCUUCCAUCCUUUAUCGGACAACCAAUUGUUUUUUGUUUGCCAAUUGCCUAGUCCAUAUUGUGCAUGUGUUCGAUGCCUGCAGACAUGUGGCUCUUGGAGUUUGUAGGUAGACCUACUAUAUUGCUCUCGGAUACGUGUGAGAGCUUUAUUAUUUCCCCUUUUUUCUUUCCAAUUCGGUCAUGCAUCAGUUCUUGCGUGAUUGUAUUGGACUCAAACAAAACACAUCCAUGUAGUCCUUCC